GGAUCCAGACUUUGAUUAUGGCUCAGGAUGAACGCUAGCGGCAGGCUUAACACAUGCAAGUCGAGGGGCAGCAUAAUGGAUAGCAAUAUCUAUGGUGGCGACCGGCGCACGGGUGGCGUAACGCGUAUGCAACCUACCUUUAACAGGGGGAUAACACUGAGAAAUUGGUACUAAUACCCCAUAAUAUCAUAGAAGGCAUCUUUUAUGGUUGAAAAUUCCGAUGGUUAGAGAUGGGCAUGCGUUGUAUUAGCUAGUUGGUGGGGUAACGGCUCACCAAGGCGACGAUACAUAGGGGGACUGAGAGGUUAACCCCCCACACUGGUACUGAGACACGGACCAGACUCCUACGGGAGGCAGCAGUGAGGAAUAUUGGUCAAUGGACGCAAGUCUGAACCAGCCAUGCCGCGUGCAGGAUGACGGCUCUAUGAGUUGUAAACUGCUUUUGUACGAGGGUAAACGCAGAUACGUGUAUCUGUCUGAAAGUAUCGUACGAAUAAGGAUCGGCUAACUCCGUGCCAGCAGCCGCGGUAAUACGGAGGAUUCAAGCGUUAUCCGGAUUUAUUGGGUUUAAAGGGUGCGUAGGCGGUUUGAUAAGUUAGAGGUGAAAUUUCGGGGCUCAACCCUGAACGUGCCUCUAAUACUGUUGAGCUAGAGAGUAGUUGCGGUAGGCGGAAUGUAUGGUGUAGCGGUGAAAUGCUUAGAGAUCAUACAGAACACCGAUUGCGAAAGGCAGCUUACCAAACUAUAUCUGACGUUGAGGCAUGAAAGCGUGGGGGAGCAAACAGGAUUAGGUACCCUGGGUAGUCCACGCAGUAAACGAUGAUAACUCGUUGUCGGCGAUACACAGUCGGUGA
rnacentral:rRNA from 1 species